UACGAAGGUGGCAAGCGUUGUUCGGAUUCACUGGGCGUACAGGGAGCGUAGGCGGUUGGGUAAGCCCUCCGUGAAAUCUCCGGGCCUAACCCGGAAAGGCGGAGGGACUGCUCAGCUAGAGGAUGGGAGAGGAGCGCGGAAUUCCGGUGUAGCGGUGAAAUGCGUAGAGAUCGGGAGGAAGGCCGGUGGCGAAGGCGGCGCUCUGGAACAUUCUGACGCUGAGGCUCGAAAGCGUGGGAGCAAACAGG
rnacentral:rRNA from 1 species